UGCAAGUCGAACGAAACUUCUUUAUCACCGAGUGCUUGCACUCACCGAUAAAGAGUUGAGUGGCGAACGGGUGAGUAACACGUGGGCAACCUGCCCAAAAGAGGGGGAUAACACUUGGAAACAGGUGCUAAUACCGCAUAACCAUAGUUACCGCAUGGUAACUAUGUAAAAGGUGGCUAUGCUACCGCUUUUGGAUGGGCCCGCGGCGCAUUAGCUAGUUGGUGAGGUAAAGGCUUACCAAGGCAAUGAUGCGUAGCCGAACUGAGAGGUUGAUCGGCCACAUUGGGACUGAGACACGGCCCAAACUCCUACGGGAGGCAGCAGUAGGGAAUCUUCCACAAUGGGCGGAAGCCUGAUGGAGCAACGCCGCGUGGGUGAAGAAGGUCUUCGGAUCGUAAAACCCUGUUGUUAGAGAAGAAAGUGCGUGAGAGUAACUGUUCACGUUUCGACGGUAUCUAACCAGAAAGCCACGGCUAACUACGUGCCAGCAGCCGCGGUAAUACGUAGGUGGCAAGCGUUAUCCGGAUUUAUUGGGCGUAAAGGGAACGCAGGCGGUCUUUUAAGUCUGAUGUGAAAGCCUUCGGCUUAACCGGAGUAGUGCAUUGGAAUACUGGGAGACUUGAGUGCAGAAGAGGAGAGUGGAACUCCAUGUGUAGCGGUGAAUGCGUAGAUAUAUGGAAG
rnacentral:rRNA from 1 species